GAUGAAGAACGUAGCGAAAUGCGAUACGUAAUGUGAAUUGCAAAUUCAGUGAAUCAUCGAGUCUUUGAACGCACAUUGCGCCCCCUGGUAUUCCGGGGGGCAUGCCAGUCCGAGCGUCAUUGCUGCCCUCAAGCACGGCUUGUGUGUUGGGCCCCGUCCUCCGAUCCCGGGGGACGGGCCCGAAAGGCAGCGGCGGCACCGCGUCCGGUCCUCGAGCGUAUGGGGCUUUGUCACCCGCUCUGUAGGCCCGGCCGGCGCUUGCCGAUCAACCCAAAUUUUUUAUCCAGGUUGACCUCGGAUCAGGUAGGGAUACCCGCUGAACUUAAGCAUAUCAAUAAGCGGAGGA
rnacentral:misc_RNA from 1 species